rnacentral:lncRNA from 1 species
GGGCAGGGAUGCAGUGUGGACUUCCAACAACUCCCAGAGCUACCCAAGAUCUUGGAGAUCUUCAGGGAUACCUGACCCUUCCCAGUACCCCUAUGCCCUGACCAGGACUCCGGGAAUCAGCCCCCUCACCCUCCUCCAGUUCUUACUGGAACCCUCUAGCCCUGAGCCUCCAAUCCUGACCAUGUGGUGGUCCCAGUGCCCUUGUUGUGGUCCCAGGAGCAGGGCAGAGCGAAGCACUGCGGAAGAUCGUGAUGGAUGCCUUGCAUUUACUGGAGAAGCAGAAGGACAAGAAGCCUUUCGAGGUGUCCCUGCAAGAAGCCAUCCAAAUGAUUUGGGUGAAGCUGAGCCAGUUGGAGCAAGGGCACCAGCCGGCGGCCCGCAUCUUCCAGUGCUCAACCUGCCGCCUCGUGGACUGCCAGUUCCCUGUAGACUGCCCAGUUCAGGAUGUGUGGGUCCACGAGGAUGAA